AUUGAACGCUGGCGGCAGGCCUAACACAUGCAAGUCGAGCGGAUGACGGGAGCUUGCUCCUUGAUUCAGCGGCGGACGGGUGAGUAAUGCCUAGGAAUCUGCCUGGUAGUGGGGGACAACGGUUCGAAAGGAACGCUAAUACCGCAUACGUCCUACGGGAGAAAGCAGGGGACCUUCGGGCCUUGCGCUAUCAGAGGAGCCUAGGUCGGAUUAGCUAGUUGGUGGGGUAAUGGCUCACCAAGGCGACGAUCCGUAACUGGUCUGAGAGGAUGAUCAGUCACACUGGAACUGAGACACGGUCCAGACUCCUACGGGAGGCAGCAGUGGGGAAUAUUGGACAAUGGGCGAAAGCCUGAUCCAGCCAUGCCGCGUGUGUGAAGAAGGUCUUCGGAUUGUAAAGCACUUUAAGUUGGGAGGAAGGGCAGUAAGCUAAUACCUUGCUGUUUUGACGUUACCGACAGAAUAAGCACCGGCUAACUCUGUGCCAGCAGCCGCCGUAAGAC
rnacentral:rRNA from 1 species